rnacentral:rRNA from 1 species
GGACUACCGGGGUAUCUAAUCCUGUUUGCUCCCCACGCUUUCGCGCCUCAGCGUCAGAACCGGACCAGUAAGUCGCCUUCGCCACUGGUGUUCUUGCGAAUAUCUACGAAUUUCACCUCUACACUCGCAGUUCCACUUACCUCUUCCGGUCUCAAGCUCUACAGUAUCGAAGGCAAUUCUGUGGUUGAGCCACAGGCUUUCACCCCCGACUUAUAAAGCCGCCUACGCGCCCUUUACGCCCAGUGAUUCCGAACAACGCUAGCCCCCUUCGUAUUACCGCGGCUGCUGGCAC